UACGUAGGUGGCAAGCGUUGUCCGGAAUUAUUGGGCGUAAAGCGCGCGCAGGCGGUCCUUUAAGUCUGAUGUGAAAGCCCACAGGCUCAACCGUGGAGGGUCAUUGGAAACUGGGGGACUUGAGUGCAGGAGGAGAAGAGUGGAAUUCCACGUGUAGCGGUGAAAUGCGUAGAGAUGAUGGAGGAACACCAGUGGCGAAGGCGCUGCUUUGGCC
rnacentral:rRNA from 1 species